rnacentral:rRNA from 1 species
GCCAGACUCCUACGGGAGGCAGCAGUGGGGAAUAUUGGGCAAUGGGCGCAAGCCUGACCCAGCAAUGCCGCGUGAAGGAAGAAGGCUUUCGGGUUGUAAACUUCUUUGACAGGGGAAGAGCAGAAGACGGUACCCUGAAAACAAGCCACGGCUAACUACGUGCCAGCAGCCGCGGUAAUACGUAGGUGGCAAGCGUUGUCCGGAAUUACUGGGUGUAAAGGGAGCGCAGGCGGGAAGCCAAGUCAGCUGUGAAAACUGCGGGCUUAACUUGUAGACUGCAGUUGAAACUGGUUUUCUUGAGUGAAGUAGAGGUUGGCGGAAUUCCGAGUGUAGCGGUGAAAUGCGUAGAUAUUCGGAGGAACACCGGUGGCGAAGGCGGCCAACUGGGCUUUAACUGACGCUGAGGCUCGAAAGUGUGGGGAGCAAACAGGAUUAGAUACCCGCGUAGU